GAUCCUGGCUCAGAUUGAACGCUGGCGGAAUGCUUUACACAUGCAAGUCGAGCGGCAGCGCGGGGCAACCUGGCGGCGAGCGGCGAACGGGUGAGUAAUGCAUCGGAACAUGUCCAUGUCGUGGGGAUAGCCCGGCGAAAGCCGGAUUAAUACCGCAUACGCCCGAGAGGGGAAAGCAGGGGACCGCAAGGCCUUGCGCGAUUGGGUUGGCCGAUGUCCGAUUAGCUUGUUGGUGAGGUAAAGGCUUACCAAGGCGAUGAUCGGUAGCUGGUCUGAGAGGAUGAUCAGCCACACUGGGACUGAGACACGGUCCAGACUCCUACGGGAGGCAGCAGUGGGGAAUUUUGGACAAUGGGGGGCAACCCUGAUCCAGCCAUUCCGCGUGAGUGAAGAAGGCCUUCGGGUUGUAAAGCUCCUUUGUCCGGAGCGAAACGGGCGGCCCUAAUACGGUCGUCUACUGACGGUACCGGAAGAAUAAGCACCGGCUAACUACGUG
rnacentral:rRNA from 1 species